GUGUAAAUGACAGUUUUCGACUUACCUUGCUGAAUGGGUUGGUUGCUGGAAGUCAGGGCUAUGGGGAGAGCUCUAAGCAGCCAGCUGGAGGACAGGCAUCGCUUAUGACAAAAGAGCUGGAUUUGGAGGUGCCUAGCAGGAAGUUUUCCAAAGAGAUAGCAGAGCUCCAGGGGACCGUGAGUGAGCUGUGGACAUCUGCCAUGCCACAGGGCACCAAUGCCCUUUUACAAUCCCUCCACUCAAUAUCUAAGAAUGAUGGGCAAAGUGUGGGACCACAUCUGAUAUUUCACCCCAGAGUGGAGAAGAAGAGGACCAGAG
rnacentral:lncRNA from 1 species